rnacentral:rRNA from 1 species
UUUCUUGGUCAUUUAGAGGAAGUAAAAGUCGUAACAAGGUCUCCGUAGGUGAACCUGCGGAGGGAUCAUUACACAAAUAUGAAGGCGGGCUGGAACCUCUCGGGGUUACAGCCUUGCUGAAUUAUUCACCCUUGUCUUUUGCGUACUUCUUGUUUCCUUGGUGGGUUCGCCCACCACUAGGACAAACAUAAACCUUUUGUAAUUGCAAUCAGCGUCAGUAACAAAUUAAUAAUUACAACUUUCAACAACGGAUCUCUUGGUUCUGGCAUCGAUGAAGAACGCAGCGAAAUGCGAUAAGUAGUGUGAAUUGCAGAAUUCAGUGAAUCAUCGAAUCUUUGAACGCACAUUGCGCCCUUUGGUAUUCCAAAGGGCAUGCCUGUUCGAGCGUCAUUUGUACCCUCAAGCUUUGCUUGGUGUUGGGCGUCUUGUCUCUAGCUUUGCUGGAGACUCGCCUUAAAGUAAUUGGCAGCCGGCCUACUGGUUUCGGAGCGCAGCACAAGUCGCACUCUCUAUCAGCAAAGGUCUAGCAUCCAUUAAGCCUUUUUUUCAACUUUGACCUCGAUC